CCUACGGGCGGCAGCAGUGGGGAAUAUUGCACAAUGGGGGAAACCCUGAUGCAGCGACGCCGCGUGAGGGAAGAAGUAUCUCGGGACGUAAAGCUCUAUUAGCAGGGAAGAAAAGGACGGUACGUGACUAAGAAGCCACGGCUAACUACGUGCCAGCAGCGGCGGUAAUACGUAGGGGGCCAGGGUAAUACGGAUUGACUGUGCGUAAAGGGGGCGUAGACGGCAGCAAAAGUCUGGAGUGAAAUCCCGGGGCUUAACCCCGGAACUGCUUUGGAAACUGUGCGGCUGGAGUGCGGGAAGGGUAAGCGGAAUUCCUGGUGUAGCGGUGAAAUGCGUAGAUAUUAGGAAGAACACCGGUGGCGAAGGCGGCUUACUGGACUGUAACUGACGUUGAGGCUCGAAAGCGUGGGGAGCAAACAGGAUUAGAUACCCCUGUAGUC
rnacentral:rRNA from 1 species